UACGUAGGGCGCGAGCGUUGUCCGGAAUUAUUGGGCGUAAAGAGCUCGUAGGCGGCCUGUUGCGUCCGCUGUGAAAUCCCGGGGCUCAACCCCGGGCUUGCAGUGGAUACGGGCUGGCUAGAGGCAGGCAGGGGAGAACGGAAUUCCCGGUGUAGCGGUGAAAUGCGCAGAUAUCGGGAGGAACACCGGUGGCGAAGGCGGUUCUCUGGGCCUGUACUGACGCUGAGGAGCGAAAGCGUGGGGAGCGAACAGGAUAGAAACCCCUGGU
rnacentral:rRNA from 1 species